rnacentral:rRNA from 1 species
UACGAAGGGGGCUAGCGUUGCUCGGAAUUACUGGGCGUAAAGCGCACGUAGGCGGAUCUUUAAGUCAGGGGUGAAAUCCUGGAGCUCAACUCCAGAACUGCCUUUGAUACUGAGGGUCUUGAGUUCGGGAGAGGUGAGUGGAACUGCGAGUGUAGAGGUGAAAUUCGUAGAUAUUCGCAAGAACACCCGUGGCGAAGGCGGCUCUCUGGGACGGUACUGACGCUGAGACGCGAAAGCGUGGGGAGCGAACAGG